CGAGAGGAACACAAUCCACAUAUACAUUCAUCAUGCGUGCUAUGGUAUUCUUGUGCCUCUUGGCUGUGGCCCUCGCCCUUCCUGUAGCAGAACCCGAGGCGGAUCCUCAGUUCCUCCUUCCUCACUCCCUGAACUACUUCAACCCCUUCGUCCACUCCAUCAACGCCGGCGAUUCCCACCUCUAUUCCUACCCAUAUGGGCAUCACCUCGCAUACGGCCACAGAUACCCA